UACCAGCACCCCGAGCGGUCGGGACGAUUAUUGGGCCUAAAGCAUCCGUAGCCGGUCCUGCAAGUCUUCCGUUAAAUCCAGCUGCUCAACAGAUGGGCUGCGGGGGAUACUACAGGGCUAGGAGGCGGGAGAGGCAAGCGGUACUUUAUGGGUAGGGGUAAAAUCCGUUGAUCCAUAGAAGACCACCAGUGGCGAAGGCGGCUUGCCAGAACGCGCUCGACGGUGAGGGAUGAAAGCUGGGGGAGCAAACCGG
rnacentral:rRNA from 1 species